GAUGAACGCUGGCGGCGUGCUUAACACAUGCAAGUCGAACGGGAAACAUUUUAUUGAAGCUUCGGCAGAUUUAGCUUGUUUCUAGUGGCGGACGGGUGAGUAACGCGUGAAUAACCUGCCUUUCAGUGGGGGACAACAGUCGGAAACGACUGCUAAUACCGCAUGACGCUUCUUGGGGGCAUCCCUGAGAAGUCAAAGCUUUAUGUGCUGAAAGAUGGAUUCGCGUCUGAUUAGCUAGUUGGUGAGGUAACGGCUCACCAAGGCGACGAUCAGUAGCCGGUCUGAGAGGAAGGUCCCCCACAUUGGAACUGAGACACGGUCCAA
rnacentral:rRNA from 1 species